rnacentral:rRNA from 1 species
UGGGGAAUAUUGCACAAUGGGGGAAACCCUGAUGCAGCGACGCCGCGUGAAGGAAGAAGGUCUUCGGAUUGUAAACUUUUGUCUUUGGGGAAGAAAUUUGACGGUACCCAAGGAGGAAGCCACGGCUAACUACGUGCCAGCAGCCGCGGUAAUACGUAGGUGGCGAGCGUUGUCCGGAUUUACUGGGUGUAAAGGGCGUGUAGGCGGAUUUUUAAGUCCGGUGUGAAAUACCACGGCUCAACCGUGGAAUUGCAUUAGAAACUGGAAAUCUUGAGUGCUGGAGAGGAAAGCGGAAUUCCUAGUGUAGCGGUGAAAUGCGUAGAUAUUAGGAGGAACACCAGUGGCGAAGGCGGCUUUCUGGACAGUAACUGACGCUGAGGCGCGAAAGCGUGGGGAGCAAACAGG